rnacentral:rRNA from 1 species
UGGGGAAUAUUGGACAAUGGGGGGAACCCUGAUCCAGCCAUGCCGCGUGUGUGAAGAAGGUCUUCGGAUUGUAAAGCACUUUAAGUUGGGAGGAAGGGCAGUUAACUAAUAUUUGACUGUUUUGACGUUACCGACAGAAUAAGCACCGGCUAACUUCGUGCCAGCAGCCGCGGUAAUACGAAGGGUGCAAGCGUUAAUCGGAAUUACUGGGCGUAAAGCGCGCGUAGGUGGUUCGUUAAGUUAGGAGUGAAAGCCCCGGGCUCAACCUGGGAAUUGCUUCUAAAACUGGCGGGCUAGAGUAUGGUAGAGGGUGGUGGAAUUUCCUGUGUAGCGGUGAAAUGCGUAGAUAUAGGAAGGAACAUCAGUGGCGAAGGCGACCACCUGGACUAAUACUGACACUGAGGUGCGAAAGCGUGGGGAGCAAACA